AGUUUGCAUCAGUCAAUGCGAGAGCAUGAAAACUUUCUCACACGGUCACGUGGAAGCACCUGAAUUAUGGAAGGUGGAGAUAGAUGGAGUUCAUUGCUCAAAAGAGAAUCGUCUAAACGCUACAGUUAGCCAACAAUUUGAGAAUCGAUCGAAUAAGCAGCAUUGAUGAGUUAAUUAGUACAAUCAUAAUUUAACAUGUUCUAUGGGACACCAAAUGCAGGAGGAGAAUAUAAGUAGAUCCCAUCAAAGCAACAAAUAUUCAUUUCUGUUUGAGUGUGGUGUGUUGUGCAUGAUAUAAAUAAAUCCCCUGUAUUAUUUGCAGGAAGAAGUGUAUGAUUACUUUUUAACUUUUUAAGUGACAAAGCUAUAAGCUAAGUGUGUUUUAUGAAUAAAUUAUAUUUUGGAUUUUUAUACAAGAUAUAA